rnacentral:rRNA from 1 species
CACGUAGGGCGCAAGCGUUGUCCGGAAUUAUUGGGCGUAAAGAGCUCGUAGGCGGUCUGUUGCGUCCGCUGUGAAAACUCGGGGCUUAACCCCGAGCCUGCAGUGGAUACGGGCAGACUAGAGGUAGGUAGGGGAGAAUGGAAUUCCCGGUGUAGCGGUGAAAUGCGCAGAUAUCGGGAGGAACACCGGUGGCGAAGGCGGUUCUCUGGGCCUUACCUGACGCUGAGGAGCGAAAGCGUGGGGAGCGAACAGGAUUAGAACUACGAGUCA